AUUGAACGCUGGCGGCAGGCCUAACACAUGCCAGUCGAGCGGAUGAAGGGAGCUUGCUCCUGGAUUCAGCGGCGGACGGGUGAGUAAUGCCUAGGAAUCUGCCUGGUAGUGGGGGAUAACGUCCGGAAACGGGCGCUAAUACCGCAUACGUCCUGAGGGAGAAAGUGGGGGAUCUUCGGACCUCACGCUAUCAGAUGAGCCUAGGUCGGAUUAGCUAGUUGGUGGGGUAAAGGCCUACCAAGGCGACGAUCCGUAACUGGUCUGAGAGGAUGAUCAGUCACACUGGAACUGAGACACGGUCCAGACUCCUACGGGAGGCAGCAGUGGGGAAUAUUGGACAAUGGGCGAAAGCCUGAUCCAGCCAUGCCGCGUGUGUGGAGAAGGUCUUCGGAUUGUAAAGCACUUUAAGUUGGGAGGAAGGGCAGUAAGUUAAUACCUUGCUGUUUUGACGGUACCAACAGAAUAAGCACCGGCUAACUUCGUG
rnacentral:rRNA from 1 species